UGUGGGGUAGAGCAGCGGCAGCUCGUCGGUCUCAUAAGCCGAAGGUCACAGGUUCGAAUCCUGUCCCCGCUA
rnacentral:tRNA from 1 species